AAUGAACGCUGGCGGCGCGCCUAAUACAUGCAAGUCGAGCGAGAAGACGUAGCAAUACGUUUGUAAAGCGGCGAACGGGUGAGGAAUACAUGGGUAACCUACCCUCGAGUGGGGAAUAACUAGCCGAAAGGUUAGCUAAUACCGCGUACGCUUCUUGGACUUCGGUUCAGGGAGGAAAGCGAUGCCGAGGGUAUCGCGCUCUUGGAUGGGCUCAUGUCCUAUCAGCUUGUUGGGAGGUAACGGCUCACCAAGGCUUCGACGGGUAGCUGGUCUGAGAGGACGAUCAGCCACACUGGCACUGCGACACGGGCCAGACUCCUACGGGAGGCAGCAGUAAGGAUAUUGCGCAAUGGGCGAAAGCCUGACGCAGCGACGCCGCGUGGGGGA
rnacentral:rRNA from 1 species